CAGCAGCCGCGGUAAUACAGAGGGUGCGAGCGUUAAUCGGAUUUACUGGGCGUAAAGCGUGCGUAGGCGGCUUUUUAAGUCGGAUGUGAAAUCCCUGAGCUUAACUUAGGAAUUGCAUUCGAUACUGGGAAGCUAGAGUAUGGGAGAGGAUGGUAGAAUUCCAGGUGUAGCGGUGAAAUUCGUAGAGAUCUGGAGGAAUACCGAUGGCGAAGGCAGCCAUCUGGCCUAAUACUGACGCUGAGGUACGAAAGCAUGGGGAGCAAACAGGAUUAGAUACCCCAGUAGUCCCUGUCUCUUAUAC
rnacentral:rRNA from 1 species